rnacentral:tRNA from 1 species
GAGGGUAUAGCUUAAGUGGUACAGUGCGAGCUUAGCAUGCACGAGGUCCUGGGUUCAAUCCCCAGUCUUCCUCU